CCAGAAGUUACGAAGGCUCCUAAACCCCUCGUGAACUAUCCUAUCGUUGCUUCGGGCGGAUCCCCUCACGGGGACGCAGCCCUCGGCCUCUCAGGAGGUCAGGGCAGCCCGCCGGAGGUACCCGAAACUCUUGUAUUUCUUAGGUAUCUUCUGAGUAUAACAACAAAUAAGUUA
rnacentral:misc_RNA from 1 species